UUUGGAGAAGGUGCUUCGGGGGCGACGAUGGUCCAAGUCCCUUGGAACUGGGCGUCAUAGAGGGUGAGAAUCCCGUAUGCGGCCGUCCGUCAAUCCCAUGUGAAGCCCUUUCGACGAGUCGAGUUGUUUGGGAAUGCAGCUCUAAUUUGGUGGUAAAUUUCAUCUAAAGCUAAAUAUCUGCCAGAGACCGAUAGCGCAAAAGUAGAGUGAUCGAAAGAUGAAAAGCACUUUGAAAAGAGAGUUAAAAGUACGUGAAAUUGUUGAAAGGGAAGCGCUUGCAACCAGACUCAACAGCGGGGGCUCAACCUUCCUACGGGAUGGUGCACUCCCUCGCAGCUGGGCCAGCAUCGGUUUCGGCGGUGGGACAAAAGUCUCGGGAAAGUAGCUCUCUCCGGGGAGUGUUAUAGCCCGGGGCACAAUGCCACCAGCCGGGACCGAGGACCACGCAUUUGCUAGGAUGCUGGCGUAAUGGUUGCCAGCGACCCGUCUUGAAACACGGACCAAGGAGUCGACCAAUCGCGCGAGUCUUAGGGCGUUAAACCCUGGGGCGUAGUGAAAGCGAACGUAGGUGAGAGCCUUUGGGCGCAUCAUCGACCGAUCUUGAUGUCUUCGGAUGGAUUUGAGUACGAGCACGGUCGGUCGGACCCGAAAGGUACGCUUAAAUAACUUUGGUUUAGUUGACGUGACUGCUAACUUUUUGAUUCUAGAUGGUGAACUAUACGAGAAUAGGGUGAAGCCAGAGGAAACUCUGGUGGAGGCUCGCAGCGGUUCUGACGUGCAAAUCGAUCGUCAAAUUUUCGUAUAGGGGCGAAAGGUAUGAUCCAUCAUGCGUCCCCAAGUCUCUUUGAACGCCGUACUAACUUCCUUGGCAGACUAAUCGAACCAUCUAGUAGCUGGUUCCCGUCGAAGUUUCCCUCAGGAUAGCAGCAACGAAAAACAGUUUUAUUAGGUAGAGCAACGUUUAGAGGCCUUGGGGUAAUAAUUACCUCAACCUAUUCACGAACUUCGAAUAUGUAAGAAGUCCUUGUUACUUAAUUGAACGCGGAC
rnacentral:rRNA from 1 species